rnacentral:rRNA from 1 species
CGUAAUAGCUCACUGGUCGCGUCGGCCUGCGCGGAAGCUGUAACGGGGCUAAACCAUGCACCGAAGCUGCGGCAGCGACACUAUGUGUUGUUGGGUAGGGGAGCGUUCUGUAAGCCUGUGAAGGUGUACUGUGAGGUAUGCUGGAGGUAUCAGAAGUGCGAAUGCUGACAUAAGUAACGAUUGUUGUUGGGUCGGGGAGCGUUCUGUAAGGAC